CGCACAUUGCGCCCAUGAGUAUUCUCGUGGGCAUGCCUGUUCGAGCGUCAUUUCGACCCUUAAGCCUAGCUUAGUGUUGGGAACCUACCGCCGGCGCAAGCCCCGUAGCUCCCGAAAACCAACGGCGGAUUUGUAGCGUCCUCUGAGCGUAGUAAUUAUUUUCUCGCUUUUGCCAGGCGCUGUAGACCCAGCCGCUAAACCCCCAAUUUUUAAAGGUUGACCUCGGAUCAGGUAGGAAUACCCGCUGAACUUAA
rnacentral:misc_RNA from 1 species